rnacentral:rRNA from 1 species
AUUGAACGCUGGCGGCAGGCCUAACACAUGCAAGUCGAGCGGAGCGGCGGACGGGUGAGUAAUGCCUAGGAAUCUGCCUGGUAGUGGGGGAUAACGUCCGGAAACGGGCGCUAAUACCGCAUACUAUCAGAUGAGCCUAGGUCGGAUUAGCUAGUUGGUGGGGUAAAGGCCUACCAAGGCGACGAUGCGUAUCUGGGCUGAGAGGAUGAUCGGUCACAGUGGAACUGAGACACGGUCCAGACUCCUACGGGAGGCAGCAGUGGGGAAUCUUGGACAAUGGGCGAAAGCCUGAUGCAGCCAUGCCGCGUGAGUGAAGAAGGUCUUCGGAUUGUAAAGCACUGUAAGUGGUGAGGCGUUAACAACAGAAUAAGCACCGGCUAACUUCGUGCCAGCAGCCGCGGUAAUAC